rnacentral:rRNA from 1 species
AAACAUGUCUUUUUGAUUAAUAAUAUAAAGUCUGAUCUGCUCCAUGAAUUUAUUUAAAUAGCUGCAGUAUUUUAACUGUACAAAGGUAGCAUAAUCAAUAGUUUUUUAAUUGAAAGCUGGAAUGAAUGAUUUGAUAAGGUAAAUACUGUCUCAAUUUUAAAGGUAUUAAAAAUUUUUUUUUAGUUAAAAAACUAAAAUGAUUUUAAAAGACGAGAAGACCCUAUAGAUUUUUAUAUUUAAAAUUUAAUUGAUUUAAAUAAAGAAAAUUUUUAAAUUUAAGAAUAUUUAGUUGGGGAAAUUGUUAAAUUAAAAUAAUUUUAAUAUUUAAAAAACAAAAAUUUUUGAAUUUAUGAUCUUAAUAUAUAGAUAAUUAGAAUAAAAUACCUUAGGGAUAACAGCGUAAUUUUUUUAGAUAGAUCUUAUAAAUAAAAAAGUUUGCGACCUCGAUGUUGAAUUAAGAUAAAAUUUUAAAGCAGUAUUUAAAAAUUUUUGGUCUGUUCGACCAUUAAAAUCUUACGUGAUCUGA